rnacentral:misc_RNA from 1 species
CCACCCCUCAGGCCCCGCCUGGCGUUGGGGGACUGCGCCGCAGCCCCCGAAAGACAGCGGCGGACACGCCCAAAGCCGAGCGCAGUACGCAUCUCGCUCCGGCCCACAGCGCGCCCGGCCGUCCAACUCUCCGACAACG